GAUGAACGCUAGCGGCAGGCUUAACACAUGCAAGUCGAGGGGCAGCAUAAAUAGUAGCAAUACUAUUGGUGGCGACCGGCGGACGGGUGCGUAACGCGUAUACAACCUUCCCUAAACAGGGGGAUAAUCUGGAGAAAUUCGGUCUAAUACCCCAUAACAUCAGAGCAGGCAUCUGUUUUGGUUAAAAUUUCCGGAGGUUUAGGAUGGGUAUGCGUAGCAUUAGCUAGUUGGUGAGGUAACGGCUUACCAAGGCGACGAUGCUUAGGGGGACUGAGAGGUUAACCCCCCACACUGGUACUGAGACACGGACCAGACUCCUACGGGAGGCAGCAGUGAGGAAUAUUGGUCAAUGGGCGGAAGCCUGAACCAGCCAUGCCGCGUGCAGGAUGACGGCUCUAUGAGUCGUAAACUGCUUUUGUACGAGGGUAAAGUGGGCUACGUGUAGCCGUUUGAAAGUAUCGUACGAAUAAGGAUCGGCUAACUCCGUGCCAGCCGCCGCCGUAA
rnacentral:rRNA from 1 species